UGUGGCUCAAUGGUAGAGCGCUUGCCUAGUAUGCAUGAGGCACUGGGUUUGACCCCUGGCA
rnacentral:tRNA from 1 species